GUGGGCGUGCGGGCGAUACGGGCAGACUAGAGUACUGCAGGGGAGACUGGAAUUCCUGGUGUAGCGGUGGAAUGCGCAGAUAUCAGGAGGAACACCGGUGGCGAAGGCGGGUCUCUGGGCAGUAACUGACGCUGAGGAGCGAAAGCGUGGGGAGCGAACAGGAUUAGAUACCCUGGUAGUCCACGCCGUAAACGGUGGGUACUAGGUGUGGGUUCCUUCCUUGGGAUCCGUGCCGUAGCUAACGCAUUAAGUACCCCGCCUGGGGAGUACGGCCGCAAGGCUAAAACUCAAAGGAAUUGACGGGGGCCCGCACAAGCGGCGGAGCAUGUGGAUUAAUUCGAUGCAACGCGAAGAACCUUACCUGGGUUUGACAUGCACAGGACGCCGGCAGAGAUGUCGGUUCCCUUGUGGCCUGUGUGCAGGUGGUGCAUGGGCUGUCGUCAGCUCGUGUCGUGAGAUGUUGGGUUAAGUCCCGCAACGAGCGCAACCCUUGUCCUAUGUUGCCAGCGGGUUAUGCCGGGGACUCGUAGGAGACUGCCGGGGUCAACUCGGAGGAAGGUGGGGAUGACGUCAAGUCAUCAUGCCCCUUAUGUCCAGGGCUUCACACAUGCUACAAUGGCCGGUACAAAGGGCUGCGAUGCCGUGAGGUGGAGCGAAUCCUUU
rnacentral:rRNA from 1 species